UCUAUCCUUCUCUUCCAGCCUUCCUCCCCUUCUACCCUCCUCCUGUCAUUCUCUUCUAUUCUUCUUCCUUCUACCUUCUCUCCUAUCCUUUUCUAGGCUUCUCUACACUUUAUCUACUAUCCUUCUUUUCUACGUUUUUUUCUCUUCUUCAUUUCUCCUCUACCCUUCUUCUCUAUCCUUCUUGUCCUCUAGCCCUCUUCUCUCCUACAUUUCUCCUCUACCUUCCUCUAAAUGUCAAAUCUACCUGUCUAUACCUGUGAAAUUAAUCUUCGUUUUCCUCCCUCUAAUUAAUUCCUCUCUCUCUCUCUCUCUCUCUCUCUCUCUCUCUCUCUCUCUCUCUCUCUCUCUCUCUCUCUCUCUCUCUCUCUCUCUCUCUCUCUCUCUCUCUCUCUCUCUCUCUCUCUCAAGUAUACGUACAUUUCAUGAACUUUCCCUAAUAAAACUAAUCUCUCUCUCUCUCUCUCUCUCUCUCUCUCUCUCUCUCUCUCUCUCUCUCUCUCUCUCUCUCUCUCUCUCUAUCUAUCU